rnacentral:rRNA from 1 species
GAUGAACGCUGGCGGCGUGCCUAAUACAUGCAAGUCGAGCGAACGGACGAGAAGCUUGCUUCUCUGAUGUUAGCGGCGGACGGGUGAGUAACACGUGGAUAACCUACAUAUAAGACUUGGAUAACUUCGGGAAACCGGAGCUAAUACCGGAUAAUAUUUUGAACCGCAUGGUUCAAAAGUGAAAGACGGUCUUGCUGUCACUUAUAGAUGGAUCCGCGCUGCAUUAGCUAGUUGGUAAGGUAACGGCUUACCAAGGCAACGAUGCAUAGCCGACCUGAGAGGGUGAUCGGCCACACUGGAACUGAGACACGGUCCAGACUCCUACGGGAGGCAGCAGUAGGGAAUCUUCCGCAAUGGGCGAAAGCCUGACGGAGCAACGCCGCGUGAGUGAUGAAGGUCUUCGGAUCGUAAAACUCUGUUAUUAGGGAAGAACAUAUGUGUAAGUAACUGUGCACAUCUUGACGGUACCUAAUCAGAAAGCCACGGCUAACUACGUG